AUGGAAAAGGAGCCCAGAAAACAAUUUGUUUAUUAUAAGCAGGUCAGUCCUCGAGGGGACUCAUGGAAUCACGCAGUGGGAGAGGACAAUCAUGGCACUGAAAUGAGAUGUGGGGAGAACAAAAGAAGAAGGGUCAUGAAUGAGCGCUUAUGUUUUUGUACCCAAAAUGGUGAGUGCGUCAGAAGAAGAAAACAUUGGUUUGGAUGACAUUCUUGAAGAACUGAAAAGAUAAGUGAAGAGGAAUCAGAUGACCAAACUGCCAAACAUGUAAAACCAACAUCAUUAUGCACUUGUUAAUUCUUUUUUUUUAAUCUCUAGUCUGGUUUGGCUGAGGCACCCUUAUGAUGUAAUCUGCAACUGGACAGGGCAAUUCUUGCUGUCCCUGUAAAACACAGUCCCACACUCCACACCUUCAAGGUUCCUGAGGACUUUGUAUGCCAUCUGCAGCACUAGGUCCAGUUCUAGGCAGAGCAGUUCCAGGCUGACAUAAGAAUACCAGAGUCCAGUGAAGGACCACAGAGGUAAUUAAGAGGCUGGAGCAUCUCUCAUGUUGGAGUCACUGAGAUUUCUUGAAAAGAAAAAGCUCAAGGAAGAUCUUAUUUAUGUGUAUAAAUUCCUGAUGUGAGUGAAGAAUACAGUCAGACUCUUGGUGCUGCCCAGUGACAGGAAAAGAGGCAGUGCACACCAUCUGAAGUACAGAAAAUUCCAUUUAAAUGCAUUUUGGCACCAUAAAUGUGACUGAACACUGGCACAGGUUGUCUGGAAUGGUCCUGGGGUCUCCAUUUUUUGAGAUAUCAAAACCCCAUCUGGACACAGUCCUGGGUAAACUGCUUUCCCUACCCUGUUUUGAGCAGGGGGGUUGAACUAGUCAAUAAUGCAGAGGUGAUUUCCCACCUCAAACAUUCCAUGAUCCAUGAUUCACUCAAACAAUCUGUUCUUAUUUCUUGCAGCUAUCAUUUGAUACUACAAUAUGUGCAGGUUGGAGUGCACUUCUCACCUUCCACUCAUAUUUCUGUGAAUCAGAGUUAUAAUUAAUAUAAUUUAACUUUUAGAAUACCUACUUCAAAGAGACAAAACCAAGCACUUGGGACAGAUAGUAAAACCCAUUAUUUCCAAAGCAAUAAUACUUGUAACUGAAAAUGUCUUAUUCAAAAAUAAUAAAAUGUUUUCAAAUUAAGCA
rnacentral:lncRNA from 1 species